GCUUGUCUCAAAGAUUAAGCCAUGCAUGUCUAAGUAUAAACGAUUUUAUACGUGAAACUGCGAAUGGCUCAUUAUAUCAGUUAUAGUUUAUUUGAUGGUCCUUACUACUUGGAUAACCGUAGUAAUUCUAGAGCUAAUACAUGCAUCAAGCCCUGACUUCGGAAGGGGUGUAUUUAUUAGAUGGAAACCAAUGCGGGGCAACCCGGAAAAUGGUGAUUCAUAAUAACUUUCGGAUCGUUUACGAUGCAUCAUUCAAGUUUCUGCCCUAUCAACUUUCGAUGGUAAGGUAUUGGCCUACCAUGGUUACAACGGGUAACGGGGAAUUAGGGUUCGGUUCCGGAGAGGGCGCCUGAGAAAUGGCGACCACAUCCAAGGAAGGCAGCAGG
rnacentral:rRNA from 1 species